UCCGGUUUGGCACCGGCAGUCCCCCCAGAGUCCUCGGCUUGACCCGGUAGCAACUGGGGGCGGGGGUUGCGCUCGUUGCGGGACUUAACCCAACAUCUCACGACACGAGCUGACGACAACCAUGCACCACCUGUAAACCGACCGCAAGCGGGGCACCUGUUUCCAGGUAUUUCCGGUUCAUGUCAAGCCUUGGUAAGGUUCUUCGCGUUGCAUCGAAUUAAUCCGCAUGCUCCGCCGCUUGUGCGGGCCCCCGUCAAUUCCUUUGAGCUUUAACCUUGCGGCCGUAGUCCCCAGGCGGGGCACUUAAUGCGUUAGCUGCGGCACCGCAGGGGUCAAUACCCGCGACACCUAGUGCCCAUCGUUUACGGCGUGGACUAC
rnacentral:misc_RNA from 1 species